GAUGAACGCUGGCGGCGUGCCUAAUACAUGCAAGUCGAGCGAACAGACGAGGAGCUUGCUCCUCUGACGUUAGCGGCGGACGGGUGAGUAACACGUGGAUAACCUACCUAUAAGACUGGGAUAACUUCGGGAAACCGGAGCUAAUACCGGAUAAUAUAUUGAACCGCAUGGUUCAAUAGUGAAAGACGGUUUUGCUGUCACUUAUAGAUGGAUCCGCGCCGCAUUAGCUAGUUGGUAAGGUAACGGCUUACCAAGGCGACGAUGCGUAGCCGACCUGAGAGGGUGAUCGGCCACACUGGAACUGAGACACGGUCCAGACUCCUACGGGAGGCAGCAGUAGGGAAUCUUCCGCAAUGGGCGAAAGCCUGACGGAGCAACGCCGCGUGAGUGAUGAAGGUCUUCGGAUCGUAAAACUCUGUUAUUAGGGAAGACCAAAUGUGUAAGUAACUAUGCACGUCUUGACGGUACCUAAUCAGAAAGCCACGGCUAACUACGUG
rnacentral:rRNA from 1 species